rnacentral:rRNA from 1 species
ACACGACUACAUUAGAUACCCGGGUAGUCCCAGCCCUAAACGAUGCGCGUUAGGUGUAUCGGUGACCACGAGUCACCGAGGUGCCGAAGGGAAACCGUGAAACGUGCCGCCUGGGAAGUACGGUCGCAAGGCUGAAACUUAAAGGAAUUGGCGGGGAGCACCACAACGGGUGGAGCCUGCGGUUCAAUUGGACUCAACGCCGGAAAACUCAUCGGGAGCGACAGCAGUAUGAUUGCCAGGUUGAUGACCUUGCUUGACAAGCCG